ACUUCUGGCACUUACUUAUUUUUAAAUACAUGACUCCUUUUCCAGCGUGGCAUAUACAGUGAAGCCUGUCCAAAAACAUGAAAGGAUUAGGAAGAAAUAGAUUCAGAAAGUUUUAAAAUAGAUUUUUCUCCUUCUCACUCACAGUCAACCCACACUUGUUUUUCAGCGACUGCUAUGUGCCAAUCCGGAUAGGUGCCGGGAUGCCGACGAGAAAUGUGAUUCCUACCUUCCGGCGUGCUCACCUCCCCAAAUCUAGCUGUGGCGAUUCAUGGAUGUCUCACUGGCAGCUGGUGGAUCGUUCCCCAAACUUUUCAGUGGUAUCCUGGUGAACCCUUCGAAGGAAACACGCUCUAUUAUGCACUCAUCUUGUUUUGAGAAUGGAUGGACGAAACCGUCAAUGCGAGAAAGUCUUCUGCGUUUAUGGCCACCAUUUGGAGAUACUGUUCAUUAAGUUACUCGAGGACCCAGAGCCCGAUAUCUGACGACCCAGACAAAAUCCUCUCAAAGCUCAGAGCCAAGAACCGGUGGGUUUCUGCUUAUUCAUUUUCCCCCAUGAUGAACUUGUAUACAGUGAAAGAUACAGGCUGUGUCUGCUUCCCUGUUUCUUCCUUCCUGCAACUGCCCUCGGCCAAGGGCUCUUGCAGCCACCUCGGAUCUCUUUGAAGAAAGCAGGAUAUGAAUCAACAAAUUGAAAAGAAGCUAGAAAACACCAAGUGAGGAAGUUUUGGGUGAC